AAGAUUAAGAGUAUUUUUGGAAAAAAAAGAAAGAUUUUAUCUUGAUUUCCAGCCUAUGUGUCCCAUAUGGAUUCCUAUUUUUCAUAGAAGGUAGAAAACUUAUGCCUAUUAAAAAGCUACAUUUCCAUUCUUAUUUAAAACUACUUUUCCAUUUAUCAUUUAAAACCUUCAACCAAGCCUAAGCCAUUUUGUCAUCUUUUCCGUUAACUACGUUUUCUCCCCUUCUUUUCCCACAAACCAAACAAGUCCUAUGAGCGGUGUCGAUGGUUUAAAUGAAUUUUCAAUGACAAAACGACUUUGAAGUUGAAAUUUGAAUCUAUAUUUUAAAAUUUGAGUUAAAUCGUACGUAACACGCAGCCUAACUAAUAAUAAAGAACAAGACCUAAUCCACUGAUAGCUCAAAAGUAAGAGUUGGUGUAA
rnacentral:lncRNA from 1 species